AGCCUUUAGAUUAGAAAGGCAGCGUUCCCAUCCAGCCCAGAAAGGCAGGAAUAGCAACGGCGGCGGUUAUUUCUGGCCCCUCACCACCGCCCAGCGCCAGGGCUGCUCAGCUUCGUGGCCUCUCUGCUGCUGCUGCUGCUGCUAAGUCGCUUCAGUCGUGUCCGACUCUGUGCGACCCCAUAGACGGCAGCCCACCAGGCUCCGCCGUCCCUGGAAUUCUCCAGGCAAGAACAAUGGAGUGGGUUGCCAUUUCCUUCUCCAAUGCAUGAAAGUGAAAAGUGAAAGUGAAGUCACUCAGUCAUGUCCAACUGCUAGCGAACCCAUGGACUGCAGCCUACCAGGCUCCUCUGUCCACAGGAUUUUCCAGACCUAAGCAGCAGCAUCUCCGCCUGUGGAUAGUUCCGAUAACCUGAAUCUCUUCCACCACUUCCAAUCCCAUCCCUAGGCUGGGGGAGAAGAAAGCCAGAAGAGAAUGCCAGGGCCAGAAGUCUGGGAGCGCAUGAGUCCCUUUUGCUCAGUCUCUAAAAUAGUUGAAGCAGAGAGAGGAGGGAAGCCCCAGGUCUCCUUCUGAGUUGCCACUCAGGAAGUUGGACCCGGCAGGUCCAAGAUGGACAUGGAACAGAGGAAAUGGGAUCUCACUUGCAUCAGAGGAGACAAAGGAAUCAAGAAGGGUCGCUGCUUGGUUAGCUUACCCCAUCCUCCCCCGGAAGCUGCCUGAGUUGGUCUCUGGGGGAUCCGUCCUCUUCUCACCUAAUGGCAAUGAAUCAUGAUCUGGUGGAGAUGGGGACAGGUCAAAAUCUUGGCAAAGAAAAGAGGAAUAAAGGAGCUCUUUGGGGGCCAUGCAUUUCUCUGUCAACUCUCAAGUUCCCCAAUGACAGGCACGGCUAAGGGAUGCUGGUGUAAAACUUGCCAUUAAUAUUUCAGGCAGCAUUACUUAUUGAUCACUCAUUUGGCUGGGACAAAAGAAGAGUAAUUCAUUAGGUGUGCAGGGCUGCUGGGGUCAGUUUGGGAAAGAGGUCAGGCAAAGGUAGGUCAUUCAGGAGUCAGUCUUGGCUGCUGGAAAAAAUACCUUGGGGUCCCAGGGGCUGAAGAUUAGGGUCUUUGUCUCCUUUUUCAGCUCUACAGUACCCAUGUACCCAUGAUGAAAAUAAGGGAAGGGGCAGGGGACGGGAAACCUAGGGGCAGCCCUGGAACUGCCACUGUGGCCAUAAGGGAGUCAGCUCCAGGGAACCCUGCAUCUAGGUGAGUGUCCCUCUCGCUCGCCCAAAUUGUCCCUCUCUUGACAAUAUUUUAGAAGCCCAAGUUGGGUUCUUUGGGCUGUAUGACCCUCCUAGGGUCAGCUUGGCAAUUUCCUUGCUCCCAGGAGGUGCCUCAUCCUUCCCCAAAGGGAGUACCUGCUUGCUGGGUCUGAUUAUCUCCUCUGCACACAAACUGGGGUUGGAAAGUGAUUGAGAAUUCAUAUCUGCCUAUCCACCCACAAGGAUGCUUUCUUCAUGAACCUGCAGCUCCAGGAACUGCGGUAUAAAGCAUCCUGCUCAGCGGACCUUAAAAGCCCACUGACUGGUGCAGGAAAGGCAAGGGCCAGGGAAUCCCACACUGGGGGUGAGCUGCGCCACCUAGUGGGCUUUUUCCUCCUUGCAGGCAUCCUUCUCACCUAUCACUGCCUCCAGCCUAGAUUUGCUGACAAGCUCUCAGGCAGAACCCAAACGGCUCUAAGACUUAAGGUGCCCUCCUCCUUUAUGCAGGCCUGACCCAGCUUAGAGAGGGGAAAACUGGGGUUAGGGGGAAUCUGUGACGGAGAUAAUCACAUACUCGCUGGUAUUUAAGGCAAUGGGGAAGCCAGCACUUUGGCCUGGGAAUAGUCUCUCCCUAUUAUUCUGAAUGCCACAUAUAUGAGGAUUAGAGGCCCCCAGAGAC
ensembl:lncRNA